AUAAAUUUUCAAUCUCAUUUUCAGAAUAUUACUUUCUCUUUUAAAUAAUCAUUCACACAUUAUAAACCAUAAUGAGUAAUCCGUUAAAUGUCACCGCAAACCUCCAAAGCAUAACCCCUCUCAGCUCACCUGUGUUUCCUUCCCCAGUUUGGUUGAAGACCUCAACACCUCGGAUUUGAACUCUUCCCUAAAUUUUCCGUAAUCGGAUUCGUGUGUUUGGUUCUGCGUUCCUUCUCAUCAGACGCGCGUUACUGACACUUGGAGGUGUCAAUUUUGGUUGAAAGACCUCGAUUUCGCUUUCGACACCGUUGAUGGUGGCUACGCCGCAAGCGCCUAAAACACAACAUCUCUUCCCUCACCCAUGUUUCCUUCACCAGUUUGGUUGAAGACCUCGACACAAAUCCGUGUGGCUCUGGUUUGUUAAUUUACACAAAACCUCCGAGAAACCGUGGAAGCCGCUUCUACGAAAAUUGAUGGUGCCGCCGCCUUUGAGAUUUCAGAUUUUAGUGACAUGUAGGUAGUUGAGCAGUCGUCAUCCUACAUAGUAGAAUAUAUGGAAGAUAACAAAGGCACACAUGAGACUUGUGAUGUGGAAGAAGGGUCUGAUGAAGAAUCUCAAGAACAUGGUGAAGAAGAGUGUGAAAAAGAGAUGGAAGAACAUAUUAAUGAAAGGGAUGAAGAGACUUGGGAUGUGGAAGAAGGGUCUGAUGAAAUAUGAAGAAGAGAUUAAUGAAGGGGGAAUUGAAUGUAAUGAUGCAUUUCAGUCUAAGGAACCAUUGAUAAUUGAGGAUAUAAAUGAUAUUUUCAGUUUGGGUGUUGAGGGUCUAAAGUGUUGGUUUGCAACUUUGGAACUUGCUUAUGAUUUUUAUAACUAGUAUGCGAAAAUGAAAGGGUUUGUUGUUUGCAAAGGCACAAUUUUGAGAAACAAGAAGGGAGAAGAAUUGCAGCAGACAUUUGUAUGUCAUGACCAAGGAUAUCGUGAAGAUAGAGGGUUGACACCUAGCAAGUGAAAGCAGCACCCAAGGUCUGAAAUAAGAUGUGGGUGUAAAGAAAAUUUCCGAGUGCAUAUUGAUGCUAGUAGCUAGCUAUGGUACAUCACAUGCUUGGUUGAUGUUCACUGAGGAAAUAACUUGGAGGAAUUGGAGACAACUAGCAGAACCAUUGCCUAAAUACAACCCUGAAGUUGUCUUGGAAUGUUAUGCGAAUGCUUGGCCUACUAAGGAGGGAGUUAUUGACCAGGGUUCUAAAGUGUGAGGCCAAUGGUCCCUUAUGACAGAGAUGCAAUUAACCAGUUUUUGGGGAAUCCAAUGAUCUUGGAGGAAGGACAACAAUGCAAAUAUACUUCGAGGAGAGAAAGAGCCACAGGUUUUGAUGAAGAAGCUAUUGUAGGGAAUGUUUUGAAAUUGAGAACUAAACAUAGAGAACUUAACUGAAUGAAUGAUUUUUAUUAGCAACAUCUCUAGCUUAAAUAG